GCUGGGAUCACGUGGAUGAGGCUCUCUGGGAUGUGAGGAGCCUCCUUCCCUGCCUGCCGGACGUGCUGGUGCUUGUGCUGAUGCAUGCAGAGCCCCGGGAGCAGCUGGACCAGGCAGUGGGAGCCCUUCAGAGAAUGCAGUGUCUGCUGGAUGAGGCCUGGCAACCGGUGGUGGAGACAGCUGCCUACAGGCCAGGCCAGCCUGGUGGCAACCUGGAGGCAGAGCAAGCUGUGUGCGGAGUGCUGAGAGGUCUGAAACUGCCAUGAAGAAGUCAACUCCCAGGGUCCAUUUAUUGUUUCGCUCCCAGAGUUCAGUCACUGCUGUGCUCUGCCUGAACACAUGCGACACAAGGUAUUGAAGACAGCUGGAGAAUGAAUUCCCUUGGGCAGCAGAAUCUGGCAGGCUGGAUUUAGCGCUGUUCAGAUGGAUGUCCCUUUGUAGAAAUACUUCCCUCCUGGCGCCUUGCUCAUCUGCCCGCCUUCUGCAUGGACGAUUCAGUAUGUGGCUGCUGCCAGAAGGGGACACUGCUCCUUCACCAUCACGCUGUCCUUGCUACAAAGCUCAGAUUUCUUUGCUGCGUUGGCUGCAUGAUCUACCCCAGGAAACUGCUAUCAAAAAUCACUGGGUUUCUGCUUUGCAUGAAGUACCUUGCUCGAAUGUCAAAAUGUGCCUGAGAAACUUGCUGGGCUGUCCCCAAGAAACCAGCUGUCAACAGAGAGGGAGUGAGAGCAGGCCAGCUGCCUCUGGAUUUUAGACUGUCCCGAAACUGAGAUAGUGAAAGAAACCCAGAGAUGUUGUAUCCACCUAAGAUCUUAACUAUCACCAAAAGAAGUAUUAAAAACCUGGUAUUUGUUUCA